rnacentral:rRNA from 1 species
AGCAGCCGCGGUAAUUCCAGCUCCAAUAGCGUAUAUUAAAGUUGUUGCAGUUAAAAAGCUCGUAGUUGAAUUUCGGAAUCCAUCCGUCGGUCGGGCUUCACGGUCCGCACUGGUGUGAUGGAUUCCUACCUUCUGAAUAACCAGCAUGUCAUUAAUUUGGUGCGUUGGGGAAGCAGGACUGUUACCUUGAAAAAAUUGAGUGCUUAAAGCAGGCUAGUGCCUGAAUACAUUAGCAUGGAAUAAUGAAAUAGGACGGCAUGGUUCUAUUUUGUUGGUUUCUAGGAUCACCGUAAUGAUUAAUAGGGAUAGUUGGGGGCAUUAGUAUUCAAUUGUCAGAGGUGAAAUUCUUGGAUUUAUGAAGCUAACUUCUGCGAAAGCAUUUGCCAAGGAUGUUUUCAUUAAUCAAGUAACGAAAGUUAGGGAUACGAAGACGAUCAGAUACCGUCGUAGUACUUAACCAUAAACUAUGCCGACUAGGGAUCGGGACGAUAGUUAAUUUUUUAACUGUAACUUCGUUCGG